rnacentral:lncRNA from 1 species
GACAUCGCCGCCAUCCUCGCCGCACGCCCGGACCUCCGCGAGUUCAGCGGCCGGCUGGCGUCCACGGGCCUGGCGUACGACAUCGACCAGCGCAAUACCUCCCUCACGGUCCUCACCGUCGACAACGCCGGCAUGGCCCUGCUCAAGGCGCACCAGGAUGGCAGUAGUGGAAGAGAGGAGAAGGGUCGAUGCGGUGCAGCGUGUACCAGGGGGAGGGCGUGUGCAAGUAGUUGUCGACGACCAGAUAGAGGAACCGCCGGCCGAACCGCGUAGCCGUCGUCGUCCGCCGGCUAGAUACAAAUCCGAUUUGCACGGCCUCGAUCGUCUUCUUGUGCACGUGUAGUUUUUCCUCUUACGAUGCCAAAGGGAUUCUUCAACACAAUAGCUGCGUACUUGAGAUUUUUUUUAUCUCUCUCUUAAUCGAAACUAUGAGGGUGUUUGUUUAUAGGGAUUUAUUGGUUUAGGGACUUAAAAAAGUCCCUAUAAAUCCCAUCUAAACCAAACAGGAUGGACUUAUAAAAACUUAAAGUGAGCAUUUGGGACUUAAUGAAAUAAGACUCUUAAGAAGAGUCUUAUAGAGACUUAUAGUUGUAAUAUGGUCUUUUAGUCCAUGUUAAGUCCUAUGAACCAAAUAGAUAGGAAUUUUUUAGGGACUUGGGACUUAUAAGUUGGGACUAAAAAAAGUCCUAGACUUAUGAACCAAACAGGGCCUAACCCACGUGAGAUCGUAACUAAAUCGGUACUUGAUCACAGUCUAAAGCUAAGUAAACACGACACUAAGCUUGUACUGGACUCGUGUGUCAAGCCAGAGCUAGCCGCCGCCAUUUGCUAUAAAAGCAGGGGUACGGUGCACCCACGGUUCAGAUCAUCCCUCGCCUCUUUCACACCCCCAAAGUGUAGCACACCAUGGCAUUCCUCACCGCCAAGCGUUCGUCCGCCGCGCUCCUCCUGCUCGGCCUGUCCGUGUCCCUGGCGGCGUGCGGCGUCGCCGCCCACGACAUCGCCGCCAUCCUCGCCGCACGCCCGGACCUCCGCGAGUUCAGCGGUCGCCUGGCCUCCACGGGCCUGGCGUACGACAUCGACCAGCGCAACGCCUCCCUCACGGUCCUCGCCGUCGACAACGCCGGCAUGGCCCUGCUCAAGGCGCGCCGCCUGCCGCGCGCGACGGUCCGGCGCCACCUCUCGCUCCACGUCCUCCUCGACUACUACGACCAGGCCAGGCUGCAGAGCCUCCCGCGCGGCAGCUCCGAGGUCGUGUCCACCCUGCUCCCGGCAUCCUCCCGCCCC